ensembl:lncRNA
CAUAUGAAAAAAAGUAAGCAGCAAGAGUUAAUAAUGUAUUAAAACUGAAGAGAUGACUACAUCUAUUGAAAGCCAGCCUGUUACAGAGAGACACUAACAUGAGUCAUUACUGAUCAGAGAAGUAAAGGGAAAGGCACAGCAUGACAUAUCACAAGAAAGGAAUGGACAGUUCCUGUGUUUUGAGAAGGUUGUCCUUGAAAGCUGAUCUCCUGUUGAGGAACCAACUGUCCUUAGGGUAACUGCACUGGUCAUUCUGCCUACCUUCUUCCUAGACUUGAACUCAAUAAAUUCACCUGGUGGAGGACACAUCAGUGAAGAUAGCUUGAUGGAAGAGUUAAAAGUUAAGGACAAGCUGGUUUUGAGUUCAGAAAAGCAAAAGAGAAGGAAGAAAAUCUUUUAUGCUUUCAUUUUCCAUUUUUCUCAAAUAGUUUCUAUGUAGAUUAUGAUUGAAGAAACACUAAAACAAAAUGGGUUUUGGCAUAAACUUUCCAGUAGCAUAUAUUUAUUAUAACCUAAUACAAAAUUAAUUAUAUGCAGAAAACCAAUGCUUUUGAUACUGGUAACUUUCAUAUGCUUCACAGGCAUUGUAGCCAGACCUUUCCUUUUUUUUUUUUUUUUUUUUUUUUCUCCCUUCCUUCCUUCCUUCCUUCCUUCCUUCCUUCCUUCCUUCCUUCCUUCCUUCCUUCCUUCCUUCCUUCCUUCCUUCCUUCCUUCCUUCCUUCCUUUUUUUUUUUUUUU